rnacentral:rRNA from 1 species
AUUGAACGCUGGCGGCAUGCUUUACACAUGCAAGUCGAACGGCAGCGCGGGCUUCGGCCUGGCGGCGAGUGGCGAACGGGUGAGUAAUGCAUCGGAACGUGCCCAGUAGUGGGGGAUAGCCCGGCGAAAGCCGGAUUAAUACCGCAUACGACCUGAGGGUGAAAGCGGGGGGCCGAAAGGCCUCGCGCUAUUGGAGCGGCCGAUGUCGGAUUAGCUAGUUGGUGGGGUAAAGGCUUACCAAGGCGACGAUCCGUAGCUGGUCUGAGAGGACGACCAGCCACACUGGGACUGAGACACGGCCCAGACUCCUACGGGAGGCAGCAGUGGGGAAUUUUGGACAAUGGGGGCAACCCUGAUCCAGCCAUGCCGCGUGCGGGAAGAAGGCCUUCGGGUUGUAAACCGCUUUUGUUCGGGAAGAAAUCCUCUGGGCUAAUACCCCGUGGGGAUGACGGUACCGGAAGAAUAAGCACCGGCUAACUACGUG